rnacentral:lncRNA from 1 species
UUCCCCGAACUCCAGCUGCAGGUAGCCUUCGUCCGGGCUCCUACGGGAGUCAGACUUCUGCCCUGAACUCCUGUUGCAGGUAGACCUCAUCCGAACUCCUACAAAGGCCGGACUCCGAGCUCCUACUGCAAGCGAUCUACUCCGAGCUUCUACUGUAGGCUUCAGUCGAGCUUCCUCAUGAAAAUAUCCCCAUCCGGGCUUCUACGGA